rnacentral:rRNA from 1 species
UACGUAGGGGGCAAGCGUUGUCCGGAAUCAUUGGGCGUAAAGCGCGUGUAGGCGGCUUGGUAAGUCUGGUGUGAAACCUCGGGGCUCAACCCCGAGCCUGCACUGGAUACUGCCUCGCUCGAGUCCGGGAGGGGAGAGCGGAAUUCCUAGUGUAGCGGUGAAAUGCGCAGAUAUUAGGAAGAACACCGGUGGCGAAGGCGACUCUCUGGAACGGUACUGACGCUGAGACGCGAAAGCGUGGGGAGCAAACAGG